rnacentral:rRNA from 1 species
AUUGAACGCUGGCGGCAGGCCUAACACAUGCAAGUCGAGCGAGCGGCGGACGGGUGAGUAAUGUCUGGGACACUGCCUGCUGGAGGAGGAUAACUACUGGAACCGGUAGUUAAUACCGCAUACCAUCAGAUGUGCCCAGAUGGGAUUAGCUAGUAGGUGGGGUAAUGGCUCACCUCGGCGACGAUCCCUAGCUGGUAUGAGAGGAUGACCAGCCACACUGGAACUGAGACACGGUCCAGACGCCUACGGGAGGCAGCAGUGGGGAAUAGUGCACAAUGGGCGCAAGCCUGAUGCAGCCAUGCCGCGUGUAUGAAGAAGGCCUUCGGGUUGUAAAGUACUUUCAGCGAGGAGGCGUUACUCGCAGAAGAAGCACCGGCUAACUCCGUGCCAGCAGCCGCGGUAAUAC